rnacentral:rRNA from 1 species
AUUGAACGCUGGCGGCAGGCUUAACACAUGCAAGUCGAGCGGUAACAGAGAGAAGCUUGCUUUUCUGCUGACGAGCGGCGGCCGGGUGAGUAAUGCCUAGGAAUCUGCCUAGUAGUGGGGGAUAACUUGCCGAAAGGUAAGCUAAUACCGCAUACGUCCUACGGGAGAAAGGAGGGGACCUUCGGGCCUUUCGCUAUUAGAUGGGCCUAGGUCGGAUUAGUUAGUUGGUGAGGUAAUGGCUCACCAAGACCGCGAUCCGUAACUGGUCUGAGAGGAUGAUCAGUCACACUGGAACUGAGACACGGUCCAGACUCCUACGGGAGGCAGCAGUGGGGAAUAUUGGACAAUGGGGGGAGCCCUGAUCCAGCCAUGCCGCGUGUGUGAAGAAGGUCUUAGGAUUGUAAAGCACUUUAAGUUGGGAGGAAGAGCAGUUAACUAAUAUUUGACUGUUUCGACGUUACCGACAGAAUAAGCACCGGCUAACUUCGUGCCAGCCGCCGCAGUAAAAC